rnacentral:rRNA from 1 species
UACGUAGGGGGCGAGCGUUAUCCGGAUUCACUGGGUGUAAAGGGAGCGUAGACGGCCAUGCAAGCCAGGGGUGAAAGCCCGGGGCCCAACCCCGGGACUGCCCUUGGAACUGCAUGGCUGGAGUGCGGGAGGGGCAGGCGGAAUCCCUGGUGUAGCGGUGAAAUGCGUAGAUAUCAGGAGGAACACCGGCGGCGAAGGCGGCCUGCUGGACCGCGACUGACGUUGAGGCUCGAAAGCGUGGGGAGCAAACAGG